rnacentral:misc_RNA from 1 species
CCUAGUACUUCAACAUCAUCAAAUUCAAGUGGUCUUUCCAUAUUCAUAACUGAUUUCUGCUCGCUUUUUUUUUAGCAAUGUAUUCCUGCAUUUGGUUUCUUACAUCUUCUGCAUUUAAUUUCUUACAUCUUCUGGAUAUUUUGGACACCGGACUACAUUUUUGUAGCCUCUAGCAAGAUGUUGAUUGAUUCUAUUACCUUCCCCUUUAUAAACUUUCAUGCAUUACAUACAUUGAAGGUCAUUGGUAUUAUUUUUACUAACUUGAAUUACACAUGCCCAUCCUGGGUCCGUCCUUCUAUUGCUAGUAAAAGAUCCAGUUGUAUUACCCUUAUCACCCAUCUAUGAUCUAGCA